CUCUUAACGGGGUGGCUUUUCAGAAGUGUAAAAAGCUUCUGGAAUAAGGGCUGGGCAAGACCGGUGCCAGCCGCCGCGGUAACACCGGCAGCUCAAGUGGUAGCCGCUUUUAUUGGGCCUAAAGCGUCCGUAGCCAGUCUGAUAAGUCUCUGGUGAAAUCCCACAGCUUAACUGUGGGAAUUGCUGGAGAUACUAUCAUGACUCGAGGUCGGGAGAGGCUGGAGGUACUCCCAGGGUAGGGGUGAAAUCCUGUAAUCCUGGGAGGACCACCUGUGGCGAAGGCGUCCAGCUGGAACGAACCUGACGGUGAGGGACGAAAGCCAGGGGCGCGAACCGGAUUAGAUACCCGGGUAGUCCUGGCCGUAAACGAUGUGGACUUGGUGUUGGGAUGGCUUCGAGCUGCCCCAGUGCCGAAGGGAAGCUGUUAAGUCCACCGCCUGGGAAGUACGGCCGCAAGGCUGAAACUUAAAGGAAUUGGC
rnacentral:rRNA from 1 species